rnacentral:rRNA from 1 species
UACGUAGGGUGCAAGCGUUGUCCGGAAUUAUUGGGCGUAAAGAGCUCGUAGGCGGUUUUUCGCGUCUGCUGUGAAAACUCGGGGCUUAACCCCGGGCCUGCAGUGGGUACGGGCAGACUAGAGUACGGUAGGGGAGACGGGAAUUCCUGGUGUAGCGGUGAAAUGCGCAGAUAUCAGGAGGAACAACGGUGGCGAAGGCGGGUCUCUGGGCCGUAACUGACGCUGAGGAGCGAAAGCGUGGGGAGCGAACAGG